GCGAGAUCAUGACCCGAGCCGAAGUCGGCCGCUUAACCGACUGAGCCACCCAGGCGCCCCAGAACAAGGCUUUUCUAAGAGAAGUGGAUCGCCCUGAUGUCCAACUCGUCAAGCCCAUGCUUAGUCCAAAUUUCUGGAUUGGACAACUAGGGAUUUAGGGACGGGCUAGAAUGUAUCCAGAGCUAACUAGACCUCCUCCACCAUCACAUCACCUCCAGUGACCAAAGGGGCAGUUCACUUACACGGAUGCUUAUCACGUGCCAGGCACUGGGUAAGACCUUAGAGGCUUGAUAGCAUAUCCUCAUCGCCCGGCUUCAUGAGGCGGGCUUUAUGAUCCCAUUUUACGGAGGCUCUGAGGCUGCAGUUAUUUUAGGGAACAAGGAUUUGUUGAGGGGAGCGGGCACUGGCUAAGUGCUGGGGAAUGAAGUAAACACACUCCUUCCUUAAGGAAGUGUCCAUUGGCCCAAGAGGUCUCUGUUGGCCCGAUUCGAAAGCUUGCCAUGAACCCUGCACACAGUUCCUCGGAGAUCGGGACACGCCUGGGGACCUUCUUAAAUCUCCCGUCCGCUCAGCAUGGACACUGUGGAGGGAGAAGAUGAGCUGAGUUCGACUUUCCAAUGGCACACCACCGUGGAGUGUGAGCUCACUCGGGCGCGAGUCUCAGCCCAUCCGUCUUCUGCUGGGCACAGAAUGUGCUGUGGAAUGCGGGCCAACAAUCGCGUUCGCUGCGCGCAGUGAAGAUACGUGGAGCCCCGUGUGCUGUGACCGGCUGCAGAGGAAGUCUUUUAGCCCUCUACAUGCAGUGAGCUUAAUUCUUCUUCUCUCUCCAUUUUCGCACGCCUCCACACUUCCUGCUUCGUCCUGGGCCUGGCAGUGCUGAAAACCUGAGACAAAAUGUCCUUCCGGUUUUUAGAGGCCGAAACCAGGAAGGACGGGGAAAUGGGAAGGCCAGCUCUCUCUGUCUGGGACACCAGGGCCGGGGCCGGAGACCCUGGACCACAUUUCCACACCUCCCUUGGGAGGGCCGGGCUCAGCGAGAUCAGUCAAGGACUUGCUCUCAGCUGCGGCUUCCUCAUUCGAGGGCAAGUUGAUUACCAUCCUUCUGGCUUCCUUUUCCAUUUGUAACCGAAAGGAGACGGCUUUAGUGGGAGAUGAUGCUGAUAGUUAUUUCCUGAUUAGAUAGCUGUUUAUUCAUUCAAACGUAUUGAUGGAUCACCUAUUGCCUCCUCUAAAAGGAGCCCUCACGGGAGCUUACGUUCCAACGGAGAAAACCAAGCAAACAGAACAGAUAAAAUUUGUGUCGUGUUAGAAGGCCCGAUUACUACGGAGGAGCCCAGAAGAGGGUGUGAGGGGCGCUGGGUUGGGGGUGCUGCAGUUGUACGUUGGGUUCUCAGGGAAGGUUCAAAAGGAAGGUAAUAUUUGCAGUGAAGACCUGAAGGGGUUAUGGGAGAAAUCCAUGUGGAUACGAAGGAUGAGCAUUUUAGACAAACAGCAGGUGCAAAUGCCCAAGGCUGGAAGCUGCCUUCUGUGCCCCGGCAACAGCAAGGCGGCCGGAGUGACUGGAGCAAAGUCAGCGGCGGGGAGAGUAGAGGGUGACACAGUCAGAGAGGAAAUGGGGCCAGAUAGUGUCACGAGGGCCUUGAGAACAGGGGAAGUCUGUAGCUCCCUGUGAGUAAGAAGGGGAGCCUCUGGAAGGUGUUGAGCAGAAAAGGGACAUGGUGCGGUAAAGUUACACAUUCUGCUCUGGCAGAAACACCGACACUUCCUACCCACUGGCCCGCGCGUGAGAAGCAAGGGGUGAUCGAUCUGACACUUGAGUGAGCCCCCUGACCUUCCACGACAAGGCAUCACCCCCAUUUCCGUGGAGGCCAACGAGACUCAGAGAGUCGCAGUAGCUUUCUCAGGCCGUGAGCCACGCAGCUAGGGCGUGGAUGAGGGGCCCCGAGAAGCCUCAAGAGAAGAAGAGAGAAGAAAAGACCCGGGGAAAGUGAACGGAACAGAAGACCAAGGGGAUGAUCCUUAUUUUGGAAGGGAAACCGGGUGACUCGGUAUCUGUGGAUGUAACAUGCAGGUGUAAGCCGAGCGAGAACUCAAGACGAAAUGUACCAAACGGCCAUGGUCCAUUCUACGUAAUGGAUACUGUAUUCUAUGACUUGUUUUAUCCACUAUACAUACACGUAUAUGCACAUAGAUAAUGUAGUUCUAGAAUGUAUCAAUGUAAUUGUAGAUUGCAAUAUUUGUUACGGUAAAAUGAAAUACGAUGUAGCAGGACUGUAUUGUAAUAUACAAUAUAAUGGAAUUAAUGUGUUACUAACAUGCACCAGAGGAACAGGAGGGGGUCUGGUGGUCCAGGGGUCCUUGGAUCUUCCCCAUUCAUGUCUCCCCUUCAUCACUUCCCAGGUCCCAGAGAGUCUGUCUGCAAAGCCAUCAUGUUGACCCCUCCGACCCACACUUCGGUUACACUUCUCCGAGGCCAUCACAGUCGCUGGGGAUGGGGUGGCAGGAACCUGUGCCCGUGGC